GAUGAACGCUGGCGGCGUGCCUAAUACAUGCAAGUCGAGCGAACAGAUGAGGAGCUUGCUCCUCUGACGUUAGCGGCGGACGGGUGAGUAACACGUGGAUAACCUACCUAUAAGACUGGGAUAACUUCGGGAAACCGGAGCUAAUACCGGAUAAUAUAUUGAACCGCAUGGUUCAAUAGUGAAAGACGGUUUUGCUGUCACUUAUAGAUGGAUCCGCGCCGCAUUAGCUAGUUGGUAAGGUAACGGCUUACCAAGGCAACGAUGCGUAGCCGACCUGAGAGGGUGAUCGGCCACACUGGAACUGAGACACGGUCCAGACUCCUACGGGAGGCAGCAGUAGGGAAUCGUCCGCAAUGGGCGAAAGCCUGACGGAGCAACGCCGCGUGAGUGAUGAAGGUCUUCGGAUCGUAAAACUCUGUUAUUAGGGAAGAACAAAUGUGUAAGUAACUAUGCACGUCUUGACGGUACCUAAUCAGAAAGCCACGGCUAACUACGU
rnacentral:rRNA from 1 species